rnacentral:rRNA from 1 species
AUUGAACGCUGGCGGCAUGCUUUACACAUGCAAGUCGAACGGGGUGAGGAGCUUGCUCCUCAUCUAGUGGCGAACGGGUGAGUAAUACAUCGGAACGUACCGUGUAGUGGGGGGAUAACUUACCGAAAGGUAGGCUAAUACCGCAUACGAUCCACGGAUGAAAGCAGGGGACCUUCGGGCCUUGUGCUAUACGAGCGGCCGAUGUCUGAUUAGCUAGUUGGUGAGGUAAAGGCUCACCAAGGCAACGAUCAGUAGCGGGUCUGAGAGGACGACCAGCCACACUGGAACUGAGACACGGUCCAGACUCCUACGGGAGGCAGCAGUGGGGAAUUUUGGACAAUGGGCGCAAGCCUGAUCCAGCCAUUCCGCGUGCAGGAUGAAGGCC